rnacentral:rRNA from 1 species
GUGCCAGCCGCCGCGGUAAUACGAAGGGGGCGAGCGUUGUUCGGAAUUACUGGGCGUAAAGGGCGCGCAGGCGGCUCUGAAAGUCAGAUGUGAAAGCCCCGGGCUUAACCUGGGAAUUGCAUUUGAUACUCUGGAGCUUGAGUGUGGGAGAGGAGAGUGGAAUUCCCAGUGUAGAGGUGAAAUUCGUAGAUAUUGGGAAGAACACCGGUGGCGAAGGCGGCUCUCUGGACCACAACUGACGCUGAGGCGCGAAAGCGUGGGGAGCAAACAGGAUUAGAUACCCGAGUAGUCC